CUCCAUACAAGAGCAAAAGGCACAAAAAAAAGAAAUGGAAAAAAGAAGUAAAGAUUAUAUGUGGUACAAUCUUUUGAUAGGAAGAUGGAAUCACAUGCCGUGGGACCCAUAACAACCUAUAUUUUGUUCAUCAACUUGUGGCCUGCUAGUAUUCAUAAGAACAAUGAAAUAUCUCUAUAUUUCACCCUAGCUGAUAGAUCAAAGACAUAUAUAUCAAACAGAUUUUGAUUUUUUAUCAAUCAAGAAAAAUACAUACACAUUAAUUAAUAUGUAUCUUUAUGGUUGUUGCAGCAUCUGCAUUUCUCUUUUCUUUUUCUUUUUUUAUUGCAUUUUGAGAGCAACAGAAAAUUUUGGAAAGAAGGUGAAAAAGCAGGCAAAAAGAUGGAAGAGAAAGAAAACUUUUUCCUCCUGUUUCCACCUUUUGGUUUAGUUGUUUGGAUUCUUUGUGGAUUGAUUCUUUUAUCCAUUCCAGUAGUGAGGGCCUACAGGAACCUUUUUCCAUCUUUUGAAUCUGCCCUCAUUUCCAUGUCUACUUCCAGCUUGGCCCUUUUCUGUAGCUUAGUGGCUUAGUGCAGUGCAGGCACCAUAUGACAAGUAUAUGUUUGGAUAAACUGUGAGGGCUGAAUUUUAAUUCUCUACCACCACAAAAGCUGUAAUUCCCAUGUAAAUGUUCCAUGGCAUAUAAAAAGGAUGUCUUAACUCACACAAGGAAAAUCAGAUAAACUUAGCUCUACUCCUGAGAGGCUGUUAGACCCAAUAUGAUUAAAGUAUGAUAUCAGAUGAUAUAGCUUGGGAAAAUUAUUGUGAUCUUCUCUGAAUCCAAAAGAAUCCAUGAAAUGGCCUUCUAGAAGCAAAACCUUGGACAAAAUAUCUAUUAAAGAAGCUUGAGGCUGUGUCAGGUUAAAAAUCUCAUUUUAGGUGCUCUCAUGGAAGUUGAGAGACCGGGACAAGGCAGCUGGGUUCGCAUGCAAAAGUGGAGACUUUUCAGCCAUGUAGUUUGAGUCUUCAUUUUUAGAUUGGAAGCCCUUAAAGAGCCCUCCUCCAUUCAAACUGGAUUUACCUGUACUCUUUAUGCCAAGUGUUGCCAAUAUAGAGCAUUUUGCAGCUUCGCCGGGAUCAUCAAUUCUCAAAGUUUUUGGAAUCAAAACACUUGUUUCUGAGCAGUUGCUCUCUCUUGAGGGAUCUUCUGAGUGGACAAGAUUUAGGAUUUUACCUUCCCUUGAAUGUUUCCCUAAUGGAGAAGUAGGACUCGAGCUUGCGGCACAGUGAUUCAGAGAAGGCGAUUGUGGGGAGAGACAUGGUGCUACAUUCCAAGGGCUUGGAACAGUACAACCCCAGUAAGCUGGUGCCGGAAAAAGUGAUGCUGGAAAUCCAGAAGGAGAAAAAGCAGGAGGAGGCAUUGGAGAGCUCCAUGGAUAAGACCAAGGUAGCCCUGGAAAGCAUGGUACUUGAGGAGGAAAGCCUUGAUGAUUAUUAGUUGCAACUUCUUUGGAGCCACAGUUUCCUCCCUUCUUAGAUGAAAUCGAAGCUGUGACAGAAGAUCCACUUAAUCUAUCACCUGCUCCUCCGCAAGAAAUAAGAAUUCUCUGUUCAGGUCUAUGAUACCCAUUUCGAACGUUGUUCUGUGUUUUCUCUGAAAGGUUCAGUACAGAAGCCACAGAUUCACAAAAAGGAGAAUCUGUGCCAAAGCUAAGGACGGUGGUGCCGUUUCCUAAAGAGGGGUUAUGAACACCAUUCACUGCAUGAACUUGAGCUGUUCUGAGAGCUUCUGAUACCAUUAUGUGACGGUAAUGUGAAGCAGAAGAAGAGCUCUUGUUCUUGCGGCGACCAGCCCCCACAGGCACAUUCCUCAUGGUUCCUCCAGCAGUCCAGUAUCUCUGACAGUUCUUGCAGAAAUGGCGUGGCUGGUUAACAUUGUAGUUGUUGUAGUAACAGAACUUGGUUUCCAUGCUAUUACAUCGAGGGCAUGGAAGUAUUUUGUCAGGUUUCUUCAAAGUCUUUUCUUGCGAGUUACUUGUCUCGCUUUGUUCUCCAUUCUUGGAGCUUUUCUGGGGUGAAGUUUCUCUCUCAUCUAAGCAAGUGUUGGGUAAUUUCUCAUUAAUGCCUGAUGAUGUUGUUGGAUCUUUUGAGUCCUCAGCUACAUGAUUUGAGGUACUAUCUUCCUGUUUAUCAUCAGCGAUUUCUUUUCCUGAGGGUUCCUAAAAUUCCAAAUGAAAAGUUGCAAAAAAAGAGCAAGAAAGAAUGGCUAGUUAACAUUCAGGUUCAUGUGGAACUCUAUUCUAAUAAAAAACAGGACAGAAACAGAACACUGAUAAAGCUAAAAAUACAAGAACUCAUCUUGCUAAUUGUCAGAAGCUAUGGGAUCUGAUUAAACAAAAAUAUAGAAAGUGGUGAGCUACAGAUUCCCAAUAUAUUCCAGAAUUUUAAGUCUAUAUUUGUUAAAAUAAUCAGAAUCAAUUCUCUUCUUUUAGAAGUCUCUCUGAAAUGUCCACAAGUUAAGAGAGAAAAGCAGAAAGAAGUUGGCAAUAUUGAGAUGGAACUUGGACAGAGGCAUGCAUAGCAAGGUCUUUCAAGUAUUCUAAAGCGAUAAUAUCAUCUUCAAGAAUUGUACUUGUACACAGCAAUUGCCAAACAAUAAAUGAACUUAAAAGGGGGAGAAAAAGCAACAAAGAGCCUCUAAGUUUCCCUAUAAAUUAAUCAAUAUCAGAGAAAGAAACAUACCUGGUUCCAUUGGUGGGCUUCUUGUUCGCUCGCAAGCGAAGUAGUAGUAUUCUCAUCGGAGGAGUCCUCAAGUUGGGCUGCAGGACCUACAGCUGCUGCUGAAGAAGACUCAUUAGGAGAAGAAAGGUCUGCAGGGUGAUGGAAAAGCGGCAAUGGAAUGGUCUUGCCAAAGAGCUUUAUCGUAGCGUCUUUCAAAUCCGACAUUUUCUUGAAGCUGUGACAGUGGAGGAGGAAGAGGAAGAAAGGGGAGGAGGAGGAGGACUUGAAAGGUGGAAGACGUAGUUGGUAAAUAAAGAAAGGAGGGGAAUGCCACAUCAG
rnacentral:misc_RNA from 1 species